UACGUAGGGUGCAAGCGUUGUCCGGAAUUAUUGGGCGUAAAGGGCGCGUAGGCGGUCAGAUAAGUCAGCUGUGAAAACCUCGGGCUUAACCCGAGGCCUGCAGUUGAAACUGUUUGGCUGGAGUGUGGGAGAGGAGAGUGGAAUUCCCGGUGUAGCGGUGAAAUGCGCAGAUAUCGGGAGGAACACCGGUGGCGAAGGCGGUUCUCUGGGCCUUACCUGACGCUGAGGAGCGAAAGCGUGGGGAGCGAACAGG
rnacentral:rRNA from 1 species